GCCUGGGUGGCUCAGUCGGUUGAGCGUCCGACUUUGGCUCAGGUCAUGAUUUCACAGUUUGUGAGUUCGAGCCCCACAUCGGGCC
rnacentral:tRNA from 1 species